UGAAAAUAAAACUAAAAGAUGAAAGGGGAAAUAAUAAAGGUGUCAGAAUACCUAUCCCUUGCGGCACCAUGCAAUCACAGAAAUGAUGUAUUUUAUGGGUUCUGAUGCACACAUACUUAUCCCUAACUUCCUGGUGCCUUAUUAUGACAUCAUAUAUAAUGUGGACCCCUCACAUUAGUCUUCUUUUAUAGUGUCAGCCCAUGUGUC